rnacentral:rRNA from 1 species
GACGAACGCUGGCGGCGUGCCUAAUACAUGCAAGUCGAGCGGAGUUUUUAAAAGCUUGCUUUUAAAAACUCAGCGGCGGACGGGUGAGUAACACGUGGGCAACCUGCCCUGUAGACUGGGAUAACUUCGGGAAACCGAAGCUAAUACCGGAUAAUCAUAGAAGUUGCAUAGCUUCUAUGUAAAAGUUGGGUUUACCUAACACUACAGGAUGGGCCCGCGUCGCAUUAGCUAGUUGGUAAGGUAACGGCUUACCAAGGCGACGAUGCGUAGCCGACCUGAGAGGGUGAUCGGCCACACUGGGACUGAGACACGGCCCAGACUCCUACGGGAGGCAGCAGUAGGGAAUCUUCCGCAAUGGACGAAAGUCUGACGGAGCAACGCCGCGUGAGCGAUGAAGGCCUUCGGGUCGUAAAGCUCUGUUGUUAGGGAAGAACAAGUGCUAUUCGAAUAGGGUGGCACCGGACGGUACCUAACGAGAAG